ACAGAGGGUGCAAGCGUUAAUCAGAAUGACUGGGCGUAAAGGGCGUGUAGGUGGUUAAUUAGGUUUGAUGUGAAAUCCCCGGGCUUAACCUGGGAAUUGCGUCGAAAACGGAUUAACUCGAGUGAGAUAGAGGGUUGUGGAAUUUCCGGUGUAGCGGUGAAAUGCGUAGAUAUCGGAAAGAACAUCAGUGGCGAAGGCGACAACCUGGAUCUUAACUGACACUGAGGCGCGAAGGCGUGGGGAGCAAACAGGAUUAGAUACCCUGGUAGUCCACGCAGUAAACGAUGAGAACUGGCUGUGAUGUGUAGGGAGCAAUCUCUGCAUGACGUAGCGAAGCUAACGCGUUAAGUUCUCCGCCUGGGGAGUACGGCCGCAAGGUUA
rnacentral:rRNA from 1 species